AAGCUUACAUGAACAUUCUGGGCGGGGCUUAAGGACGACCGAGGUAAGGCGGGUUCCGAUUGGAUAGCGCUGACUAAAGCGGAUGACUCCCUGAGAUCUCAGAACUCUGUCCCGAACUGCAGGGCUUCGGUGACGGGACACAGAAUGUGAAUGUAUGACCAGCAGAGUGCAGCUGAAGGAGGACAGGCUUGUAGGUCUUACUGGUUCCUCCAGCUGCUAGAGAUGAAUCAGAGCAUGAGGAUGGAGAGACCAGCAAGUGUUGAGUCAGAGAAGGUCAGGUAGGGAAGGAAGUGUUGCUUUUAGGGUCCGGGUCUGUUUGGCUAAAUAUAUUUCUCCAAGUCAGUUUAUUUAUUGGUUUUAAAAAUAAUGCAUCCUUAUGUGUUGAUGAUACAUUGUAAUAAAAAUACAAAAAUUACCACCAACAUCCUGGCAGAAGUAAAUAAGUUUAUAUCAGAGCUUUUUCUUUUUGGAUCUGGAACACAUUAAAAGCAAAUUACCAAAUUUGCUUUAUUCCCUGUCAUGUUAACGUUCGGUUAUUUCUCCCUUUUUCAAGAGGGCCAACAUCCACAAAAUCCGGUUAUGACGGCGAAUCCUACACUCCGUCCAGCCUGUAGUCGCGGCCCCAGCGCCACCGCCUCCUGUGGUCGUUCCAGCCACUCUAGUUGCUCCGCGUAAAGCGCCACCCGCUGGCGUCCUGUUAGGACAAAAACACCUGGCCAGGAGAGCGAUCGCUGAGCAGCGGAUGUUUUAUCUGUCCCAGCAAGGGUCCCUGCAGACAAUCAGUGGAAACGUUACUUACUGACCAGGGCAGAGUUCCCCUUCUGCCCGCUGACGGUCCGACACGUCGUUCCCACUGAUUGUAUCCUCUGCUGCCAACCACUGGCUCGUUCGGGGUCGCAGUCCUCCGUCACGAACCAUCCUGGAUUCCCCUUUCUUUUCUCCUUCCCCAACGCGAAGUCCUCUGCCUUUUAAAAUCCACUACUGCCAGUGUCUUGCAGGUUCCAGGUACGCUGCCUACGGGCACGCCCACCCCGCACAGGUGACUGGCAUCAGCUGUUAGUUCUUGGAGUCCACAGUGAAU